rnacentral:lncRNA from 1 species
UUCAAAUAAGGAAGAUCUUUGAAUCGCUCCACAAUUAGUUUUGCGUUCCUAAAAACCUUCCAUUUUCUGCAUUUUUAUUUUGCCAUGAUUGUCAUUUUUAUUUGUUGCUUGUUUAAUUGUUUUUGGUGUGGGUUUAUUUUUGAAACAUUGACAGAUAUGCAAGGUGUUUUUACAUUCAUUUUCAUGAAAAAAGGAACAUUAGGUAGAAAUGUAGAAAAAUACAAGAAAGUGCAAACAAGCAGGAAGAAGCCUUCAUUGGUCAAGUGGUGCCUCAACAUUUGACGGACCUCCAGAAAGACGAAGCACCAGAGAUUGAUUUUUCGGAGCCUCAACACUUGGUGAAGCGCCAGAUGACGAAGGCAGAAGUUGCCGCUGGAGUAAGCAACAAACCUUUGAUGAUCACUCUGAAUCCGAACCUCGGACUCCUGCAUUUGGUCAAGCUUCCUCUUCAUACUUAUUGAGUAAUUAGUUGCGAGCAUGUGCAACUCUUUAUUUUCGUGCCUAAGCACUCUGACCUCUUGCCAAAGACUGGCCACCUCAGCCAUCAACGACUCAACCUGACGAGAUCGAGCAAGAAGACGUUGGCCCAUGUUUGAUAUUGAGCCUACACAUCGGACGCUGUAGGCCAGAGAGUCCUGAACAGCCAACUCGUCGAACCGCCUGGAAAGUAUCUUAGUGUCUCUAGGAGUGAGAAGAUUUCUGGCCACCACCGAAGCCGUUGUAUCAUUCAUCAUCAUAGAAUCCCUAACUAUAAGAAGACCAUUAGGGGAUACGAAGGACAGAUGCCAAAUGUUGUCUAGAGAAGACAUGUCAAUAUCUUCCCCAACAUUCAAGUUAAUACGACAGUCAGAUUGGCAAGACAUUUCCUAAGGUGUUGAAGAAGAGGUCAGACAAAUCAAGAUUUCAGAAGUGUAAGAAGGGAAUUUCUACAAGUGGUAAUUCAAGUGUGCUUUGAAACAUAAUGCGUGCCUCUAUAAAAAUCAGCACUCGAUGAAGCUUCAGAAAUCGAAGAGGCGCCCGCUCAAAAAUCGAAGAGACGCCUUAUUCCUCAAAAGCUGGGCUGCUCAGAGACCACGGGCUGAUCUUAGAAAUCGAAGAGGCACUUGCUUUUUCAGACGUGUCAUCACCUAUCACAUGCACACUCAGCUUUGCAAAACUCACGGAUAAUUUGUCGAAGCGCCGAUCUCAAAUAUCGAAGAGGCACUUGCUUUUUCAGACGUGUCAUCACUUGUCACAUGCACACUCAGCUUUGCGAAAAUCACGAAUAAUUUGUCGAAGUGCCGAUCUCAGAUAUCGAUGAGGCACCUGCUUUUUCCAGAUGUGUCAGCACCUGUCACGUGCACACUUAGCUUUGCAGAAAUCACGAGCAGUUUAUCGAAAUGCCGAUCUCAGAAAUCGAAGAGGCACUUAUUUUUUCAGACGUGUCAUCACCUGUCACAUGCACGCUCAGCCUUGCAGAAAUUACGAGCAAUCGGUCGAAGAUUUAUGGUGAAGUAGAAAGCACGUGAAGUUUACUGUUCAAUCAUCCAACGGUUGCCGACAAGAGUGAAAGAAUAGUACCAGUUAUUAAUUCAUAUAAAUGUCAACCUUCACCUUCCAUAGCAAGGCAGACAUACAUAACCUUUCUUCAUCUCCGAGAAUGCCUUCCCAACGAAGCCUCUCGAGUCACUCAGUGUUCCUUAUUCCCUGGGGUACCUCUGCAAACAACUCAUCAAAAGCAAAAAUAUUUCAUAUCAUGAAGGUUGAAAGCAAGAGUAUCUCAUAUCAUGCUUUCUCCCUAUCCUUCUCAUUGUCUUUGUUUUCACCUACAGGACAAGGAGAAAGAGAGCAAUCAGCCAGCACUUGGUAUCAAUCUUCCGAUCUGGAACCGACUACCUGGAACACCUUCCCGAUUGCUUACCUAGCAUUGCUCUCAAGUACUCAUCUUCAACAUCAUAUGCUUCCUGAAAAUAUACCAUAUCUUCCUGGAGAACAGAUAAGGGAAGUGAAAAUGAUACCUUGAACCAUGUGGAGACAAUGUGCUAAUUCAUCCUCAGCUAGGGACAAGGAAAAAGAAAGCAAAUGGUCGGCACUUGGAAAGAUUGAAAAAGGAAACAGGCCAUCACCUCUACCUCGUGUCUGCCUGCCGUGCAGAAGAAACAAGCAGAGAAGAAUGCAGACUGCACAAUCAAAUCAACCUAGAAUAAUGAGUCUGAUUUGAAACCAAGGAACUCUCAUAUUCCUUGCUCAGAAUUCCAAACCAGUUCGAAAUCAAAGUUGUGGAAAGUCAACAAGAUCAUCUAUCUCCAUAACCAGAUUUGCGUUCUUAAACUCUACUCUGUCUUGUUUUUACUUUGCCAUACUUGUCAUGUUUUAUUAGUUAUGUUAUUUUCUUGUUUGAGUGUAAGUCUAUGCUUGCAACAUUGAGGACAAUGUUUGAUUUAAGUGUGGGGGGGGGGGGGGGGGGGGGGGGGUAAACAAGUGUUUUUAUGCAAUUGCGUGGGUUUUAUUCACCUAUCACUUACAAUGUUGUUUUUCACUGUUUUUAAGUGUUUGUAGUGUGUUUUGACAUAAAAAUCCAAAAAUUUGAUAAAAAUUUGAAAAAUUGUUUUGAAAAAGCCAAAUUGAGUUGUUUUUGUAUGUUUGUGUCUUAGGGUACCUUCCAACACAAUAAUGAGGAUUUGAUUUUUAAGUGCAUGACUGUUAAAAGAAAGUUACAAACAUGGAUGGAAGUUUGAUAUACUAUUUGGUUUAUGAUUUGUUGUAGUUAUAGUUUAUGAAUUCACAUGCAAUCACAAAAGAAAAAAAUCAGUUGUUGUAACAUGCUUGAAGAAAGGAACUCAAACUAACGCUACAUCCCUGAGAGACUUGAGCCUAAAUGUUUAUUUGGAGAGUUAUUAAUCUAUGCAGUCUUGUUUUCAAACGUCGUUGCAUGAUCUCAUUAUUCUUUGCUUGGUUGCUACUUAGAAUGCGUUUCAUCAUUAUAGAUCUAAAUACUAGAACUCAUGCCCAUUCCAUUCAAAGCAUGACAUUGAUUUGCAUAACACAUAUUCAAGAUGAAGUUGUUUAGUGAACCAAAGCAAAAUUACCGAAUCCACCUUUGUUAUUUGUUUUGUAGGUUUUAACCCCUUUGAGCUUUAUUUAGCCUACUUUCUUUGUUAACCACAUUAUCCCUACCUAGCCUAGAUUAGGACUUUCCAUACCCUUGUUCUUGAAGUAUAAUGGAGCAUGAUUUAGAAGGAAUACCUUUUUGAUAACAUUAUUGCAGAAAACAAGUGUGGGGGAAAUGUUUUCAAAGUGUAUGCUUUGUGUGCCAUAGGGCACGGCAAUAAAUUAAAAAAAAAAAGAGUUGAAAAGUAUAGAAAAGAAAGAAAAAGAGUUGAAAAUAAGUGAGAAUGAACUCAGUGUUGAUUGUUGAAGAAAGGGUCCAAAAGUUUAAAUUUGACCCUAAGUGUUGCAUGAACUUCCCCUUUGUGUUUAAGUAGAUUUUUACAUACAAAAAGUGAAUUCUAAGUGUCAAAAUCAUCACUUUGCUCACUAUUGCUUUAAGAACAUUUGUUUACCUUUACCUUUCUUUGUUAGCCAACACCCUUAACCCCGUUACAACCUUUGACUUCCAUCUUGAGUGUUGUGUGUUUCAAUAUGUGGAGUUUGAAAUUGGUAUGAGCAUAUGAUAUUUCUAGUUCUCGCUUCUAGGUAGUAGCAUUCCAUUCAUGAGAUCAUAUAUAUACAUGAAUUACUAAUUUCAAAAUUUGCUUCUUUGUUGAAAAACAUAUGUGAGUACUAGUUUUCAUAUUUACAUCAAUCUUCUCACAUAUACCUAGUAUAGGGAGCGUAGUAAAAAAUUCUUGUGUGAAAAUAAGAGUGUAUCUAGUAAGGAAUUGAGGGAAUUCUCUAAGACAUAUUACUACAUUCAAAAUGUUGUUUUAAUUAAUUAAAUGUGAGCUAGUGAAUGGUGACUAUGAUUAAGGAUGCUCGAGGGUAAGGAUUGCUUAAAUCUAUGUGAAUGGUGAUUUUUGGCAUGUCAUGUUUCAUUGAAAAUCCCUGAGGCAAAUGUUGGAAGGUCCAGGUUAUGUUUUGUUUGUUUCAUUUGUUUUGUUUUGCUCGAGGACUAGCAAAAAGUUAAGUGUGGGGGAAUUUGAUAGGAGCAUAUUUAUGCGACUUAAUUAACAAGUUUUCUUGCAUUUACUUAGCUAGUUAUUGCUUAUAAGAAUGUUUUAAGCUAUUUUCGUGUGUUUGUAGGUCCUAAUAACAAAGUUGGCAAGAAAGUGCUAUUUGGAGCAUUUUUGGGCCAAAAUUGGAUAGUGCAAGCAUGGAGACAUGAGGAUGGACGUUUUUGAAGAUUAGAAGGCUGGAAAUCAGCAUGUGUGUGUGCAAGUGUAACAGCUGGUACAAUGUGGAAAUGAUGAUUACAUGGCAGCACAUACACAUGCAAAUGGGAGAUACACGGAUAACAAAGGAAAAGAGAGACACGGCAUGGGCAGAAAGUGUGUGAUUGCAAGCUGAAAUGAUGUUAUGUGGAAAUGAUGAUUACAUGACAGCACACACAUAUGCAAAGAGUGGAGACAUCACUCAUACACACACAUGCAAAGGGGAGAUACACGGAUAGCAAAGGAAAUGAGAGACACGGCAUGGGCAGAAAGUGUGUGAUUGCUAGCUGAAAUGAUGUUAUGUGGAAAUGAUGAUUACAUGACAGCACACACAUAUGCAAAAAGUGGAGACAUCACUCAUACACACACAUGCAAACUGCACGGACAACUUGGAGGGCAGAGAGACACAUUCUACAUGGACAACUUGGAGGGCAGAAAGACACAUUCUAGACGGACAAGUUUUAGAAAGGGGGGAAGGUCUUUUCUCACGAACCAUAAAACACACCACACACAAAGAAAUUGGGGGGGGGGGGGGCGAACCAUUCUACACAUUCCCACAUCCCAAAACACAAUUCCAUGCAUUUUCAUUUCCCUUUCCUUGCCAUGACCUCCAUUCAACCUAAACACAUUCAGUCAUUCCCUUACAUAUAUCCAUACACAUUCUUAGACACUUAAGCCGCAACAAGGUGGUGAAAAAGAAGGUCUUUGGCAUUUCAAGCUUGAAGAUUGGAGCGUUUUAGGUGUAACUCGUUCUUUAUUUACUAUGUUUAAAUUCAUUAUCUUUCGUUUUGUGUGAACAUGAGUGGCUAAACCCCUCUUGCCUAGGGGUAAUUUCAAAGCCAUGAUUAUGUGUGCAAUUUGAGUUGAUAAAUUCCAGUUAUGAGUUCUUGAAUCGUGAAUGCAAUUGGCUUAACUAUUUGAUUGAUAACUUAUUUGUAUUUGUUGAUUAAGGGUUGACACUUAAAUGGCAUGCAUAAAUACGUUGCUAGAAUAUAAGAAAGUUUCACAUAAUCGUUACAAACUUAUAUUUACAAGUAGUGGAGGUCGCUUAUAAACGAUCGCGUUAAGUUUAAUUCCUAGCACGAGUGACAUGAUGUCAUAGUUGCAAGUGCUUUGUCAAUGCUUAUGAUUUUCAUUAAACGUAAUGAUCUUUGAUUGUAUCUCUAUUAUGAUGUCAUGUAGGGAACUUUUGAAGAAUGUUUUGGAUUGUCGAAUGAUGUCAUCCAAUCCAAUAAUACAAGGAAAAUUUAAGGGUUAACUAGUGAUGUCACGGUUAAUUUGGGGCAUUGUAGUUUAUAAUUCAAUGAAGGAGUACCUGGAAAUUGAUUUGUUUGCAUACAUGUCAUGUGUGGAGAAAGAGCCUCUAGCUAGCUUAUCAUCCAUCUAUUUCAUCCAAAAUCUGUCUUAAGUUUUAGUUACUUGUUUUAUUCUAAAUUCGUCCAAAACUCAAUCCCCCUCUACUUUAGUGUGUCUAUUUAGUUAGAAUCUAUUUUAGUUUGUCUUUUUAAGUGUUUUGAUUCAAGUAAAAGUCAAUUUUCGUCCAAAGUCAUUCCUAGUAUCUAGUUUAAGUUUAACUGGUUGUUUUAAGCUGUUUUGAGUAUUUUAAAUUUGCUUGGAGUCUUGUGAGUCUUGUGAAGUGUUUUUAAGUUUAGUUUUAUAUUUUUGAGUCAGUUUAGAGGUUAUUAGCAAGCCCUCCUAAUCCCCGGUCCAGAACGAUCCCUACUUAUACAUAUACUACAAUUGUCAAAAGAGAGUUUUAAUUUGUGUGUUAAGUUAAUUUUUGCAUCAAAUUGAGACUCCAUAGGUGGUGUAGAUGCAGUGACAUGCAUUGCAGUCAUUGGAGAAGAGUUAUUUUGGAUGUUGGCAUUUUUAAAGUGACAAAAUUGAGCAUUGUGAGUCUUUUUCCCACAUAUUUGGCAACCAUUAUGAAUUGAAGCAUCAACAUUGCUGAACCUACAAGUAUCUGCAAGAUGACCAACUUUACCACAAAUAUGACAAGGUGGCAUUGAGGAAUUGUUAUAAAAUUGUUGUCUUGGUGGUGAGGUACCAAGAAUUCCAGAAGUUGUAUUGUUGUAGAAUGGCUUAUUUCCAAAUCUUAAUCUAUACUGAAACUUACCUCUGCCCUUAUUCUUGUUAAAGAAGGGCUUAUAUGCAGAUUAACCCCCUUAAUGAUUAUAAGAACUCCCAGAAGAUGAACCUUGAGAUUGAGAUCCUUUUGAUUAACCCCCAUUUGCACCAACCACCAUUGUAGUUUGAAAUGAUGGAGCUUAAACAUUUUCAAUCAUUGCUUCUUCAACAAGUAAUUGAGCCCUCAAAUCUUUGAUUGAGAUCACAUUGUCCCUACCUUGAAUAAUAGACCUGAUAGUAUUAAACUCAAAGGGUAAACCAAGUAGAGUAAAGAUAACAAUAUCAUCAUCCUUAAAUAGCACACCAGCAGUAGCUAAGUAGUCCUGAGCCUAUUUAAUUCGUUGCAGGUAUGUUGUAAUCGAAUCAGACCCUUCUUGGUAGUCUAAAGAUCAUAUUUGAGUUAAAAAAUACUUGUACAAGUAACCGUAGAGAAAUGUUCCUUCAGCCUUGUCCACAUAUCACAAGCACUAAUACUUCCAAUCACACAAGAAACAGUUGGAGAUGAAAGAGUAGCUGUAAGUAAUUGCAUUAAUGCACGAUCGUGCAUCUUCCAAAUCUUGAAUUCAUCAUUUUCAACCAAGGAAGAAAAAUCGCAUGAAUUAACUUCUAAAUUGCUUGAUGAAGGUGUGAGAAAUUGAGGAAGGCAAAAGGAUGAACCGUCAACAAAUCCCAUGAGACCAUGCCCUUCAAGAAGAAGUUAGAUCUGAAAAUUCCAGGUCAAAUAAUUCGUAUCAUCAAGCUUCAUUGUUACAGACGUUGAUACGGUUGAAAUUAGAGAGGUAAUAGGCGAUUGAACAAUUUGUAGUUGUGUUGCGGUCACCAUUGUUGAAAGAAACCAAGAAAUUUGUAUAGAAAAACCAGCCGAAGACUUGUAUCGAGCACUUCGAGUGCAAUAAAAAACCAGUCGAAAAAGAAAGAAAAUGGAGAAAUCCCAAAGCUCCAAGAAAUGCAAAAAGAGAAACAGCAAUUGUUUGCUAUGAGCGGAAGCAACCAAUAUCGAACGUCAAGCGAUCAGCUUUGUAGGUGAGAAUACCAUGUAAACCAUUGUGUAUCCGAUACUAGAUAGAAAGAGAGAUAGAAGAGAAGAAAAGAGAGAGAGAAUUUAGCUGAGAAGUUUGUAUAUUUCAUUCUGAUUAUAUGGUAGUAGUACAAUGCUUAUAUAUUGCAGCUAUACAUUCAUUUCUUACACAGCAAGUCAUAGUAACUAACUCUAACAACAUUUCCUAACUAACUCAAUUGAUCUUUGACAAGUGGCACACUCUAUAGUCAUUGGAUCACUAUCCUCAACAAAAAGUACAAAAAAAGUCCAAUUCAUCCAUUAUUUUUAAAGGCUUUUUAGCUAAAAUGGUUCCUGAGAUUGGGAUAAAUUCUUACUUUAGUCACUGAGAUUUAAAAUUGAUUGAAUUAGUCUCUGAGUUUGCCCACCGUCAAUCAUUUUUAUCAUUUCAUGAAAAAUCUUCUCUAAAUUGAGGGUAGUUUUGUCUAAUCAACCCCUCAACUUUCUUUUCCAUUUACCAAAAUAAUUGACGGUGGACAACUCAGGGACCAAUUCUAUCCACUUUCAAUGUCAAGGACCAAAGUAAGGAGUUAUGUCAACUUCAAUAACCAUUUGGGCUGAAAAAAAAACAUUUUUAAACCUAAAGAAUCUUUUAACAUAAUGGUUCUCUUAAAAAGAGCUUUUCACAAACUAUAAAGCUAUUUGGACAAUCAUAAUAGACAGAUACGCUCUCUAAUAGUGUACAAAUGUACUAGCGUGAGCUUUACAUGUAUUAGAAAUUGUGAUAGUAAGUGUGUCAAUUUUGUAUCCAGAUAGCAUCACUCUUUCACAGAUAAUGGAUGGUUGUUAUAUCCAUGUCACACAUACCAUUAACUAUUUAUGUGACACAUACCUUGUUAAUACCCAAGAAGAAUUUUACUUUUGAUGGGUUUUUUUAGUUAAGCCUUAAAGAGUAUUCACUGUACAUUUAAAGUCUUAAAUUAAAUCUCCUUUAGGCAAUGGUAGUUAAGAGUAUUAAAGGAAAAAAAAAAACAGAAACCGAUCAAGCAAACGUCUUGAACAAUAGCCCAUGAACAGAGAAUGUGUAUUAUACGCAUACACAUAUGAGACAUUUGGUUAGAGAAUAAUUAUAGUGAGACUUUAUGUUCAAUAAGCCAAAGAUGAUGUUACAAAGAAUAAAGAACCAGAGGUGGGAGAGCUAUCCCACAAAAGUCUAGAGAUGACUUCAAAAGCAUUUUGAAAAAGAAAACAUACUUUGCCUUUGUAAAAGCUACUUUGAACCAAUGGCAUGAAUAAUAUCAGAAACUAUUUCAUUACUCGUGUUCCACGAAAUUUUUGGGAUGGUUUUUCGUUUUAUUUUAUUUUAUUUUUUAUUAAGUUCGUGCUUCACGUUUUUGGUAUGACGGACACUCCAGAGAAAAAAAAAUCCCUCGGUCGUUGGCUUCGGGACCGACAGUAAUCUCUGUCUUUUCUCUCUUUUCUCUUCCGUGUUUUUAUCUUUUGGUUGUUGUCAUUCUUUUGCUCGGACAAGAAGAGUUAUGGUAAUUGUGUUAUCUAUGGCUUACAACUAUCUGGCAAACGACUAUUGUUCAGAAUUAAAAUUGCUUUUGUUUUUCUUUUUGUAUGUGCAUAAAGAAAAAAACUACGAGGAGGAAGCUCGACGUUUAUUGGAACAAAAGGUAUUGUUGUUGUUGAUACUUAGAGUCCAGCUUGUACAGCCGAAGUUGCUGUCACAAGCUAUACAAGACUCUUUAUUGUUCUAGACACUUGAGAUAUUUUAUAUUAUUGAAAAGGAUUUAAGGGAAAAUGAGUGUGCCCAAAGUUCAUUUAAUUGAGUCCAAUGAAUAGUAAUUGGCCAAGUGAAUCUCCACCCCUAAAACUUAAUAGCCUAAUCCAUUUUAUUAAAAUAUUAUUAAAUUUUUUAUUAUAAAAUAAUAAAAAAAUUAUUUUUAAUUUCUGACAUUUUGUUGACCCUAAAAACCACCAAGCAUACGUGGCGUGCAAGUCAGCUGUGUGCUGGGCGUGCCAAUUCGUCGGUCGAGAUCGGCCGGGGAGUAGAAUAUGUUGAUGUCACGUUGGGCGCGCUGCUGACUUCUACGUCUCGCGAUUGCGGCCGAGGAAGGAACAGUCUUGGCCUUUGGGUUCUAGAGCCUGAAGAUAAGGCUACUAGUCUUGUGAAGUUCACAGAUCGUCAGCGCUGGGUUCGGUCACAGUAAUUAUAUUCGUGAAAGUAUAAGUACGCCGAACUGGCACCAGACUAUAUAGACACAAAUACUCGAAUGUGAUAAAUGUCUUGAUGGUAAAUAUGGUUUGGCCAUUGGAAUGCCGAACUCUAAAAUGUACUUGUGAAUAUCCAAUCAUAAAAUAACUCGGCUUUCAAUGUGUCGAGCUUAGUAACUUAGUAACACCUCACUUUGCUAAGAAGACAUAUGAGAUGACCUCUACCAAAACUUCUUCAACUAUAACACCUUGAUCACCCACUUUGCUGGCUCGGAGGGGGAAGCUUUCAAAAAUGGAGAGCACGAGGCCUUCUUGUUAUACUGGUACAAUAAAUUCAUUUUUUGUACCAAGUUGAACAAGUGCUUGGCCGAGAACAUUCUGGUGGCCAAAGCCCUAGCUAGUGGCUAUGACUUGGCUUUUAGCUCGACCAUUCUUGCCAACCUCAACCGAUGUUUGGUCGAGGCUUCUGUUGAGAAGAUCAAUCUGCAUCAGAACGGCUCGCUCUGUGUUUUCCAACUUUGGCUACAGGUCUACUUCUAUACGUUGCGAGCGGAGAUCCCUAGCUUCAACUCUUCUGGGGCAAUGGGUCUUCAAUUGGCCUCACACCCCCUUCUUGCUCACUAGACCAAAGACAAGGCAUAUUCAAAUAUUUCUUUGGCCUUGAAGAUCUAUCUAAAGAGGAGUUUCUGGUCUGCCGCCGCCAGAAAUAUCCAUCUUCCAUCAGGCUCCCUACAUCGACGUAGGGAGAAGCAAAGGAAACCGACCUUUGACAGUUCUGGGGGCUAUUUGUCCUGUCUCGUGACCUUCUAUAUGAUUGUGAUGCUCGACGGGCUAGCUGGGAGUUUACCAUCCUUAUUUCGUGGCCCAUCAACUAGGCUACCUCCAGGGCUGUCCUCUGCCCUCCUCACUUCUUGCUCACUCUUGAGUAGAAAACUCCUAUCCGGCUCUUCGGAGAAGGAAUGUGAGAAGGCCGAAAGAGAAUUCCAAGAGCGGUGUAAUAAAUUCCACCUUCUGCCGUAUACCCUAGAAACCGACUGUACUAGCACCUUCGUGAAUUGGUGGGAUGCCUACGUUAAGGAUUUCUUUGGUACCUCGGCCAAGGAAGUUUCGAAGAAACUUUUUGGUGACCGACCGAGGAAGAUUCUUGCCCCAAGAUCUAAAGAAACGGCUCAAGGUAUACAUCUCUUUAUUUCUCUGUUAUCUUUUUAACUUCAUCUAUUUAAACUUUGUUUUGACUCGAACUCAGUUUUUUAGGUUGUCAUGCCAUCAAAUGGGCCGAUGUGGUUGCGAUGGUUGCAAAAAAAAAGAAACUCACUCUUCAUCUCAAGAAGGCUGCGAGCAUCGCUCAUCCCUUAGCCGAACCAACUCUAGUAACGGCCCAUGUUAUUCCAACCGGACCGAGCAAACAACCUCAUCUGGAGGUCGAGAUGACUGGCAACGUUGCCUGGCCCUAAAAAACGCAUCGCAAAGAAAGGAGAACGGGAAAUACAUGUCAUUUCAAGUCAAACCAUGGGAGCAACCACUCCUAGUGUCCCUCUCCCUUCUCCCAUUGACCAGGUCUUCGCAGAAGUGCCGCAAAACCCCUCGAUCUUAACCAUGGGCUAGACGAUCGUGGUUCGACCUACCACGCAGGUCGCCGUUGAAGUCGAACCAGUCGUCGCCCUGUGGUCGAGGAACUUGCACCUCUAGAGCUAGCCGUUACUCCUGUUGAUAUCGGCCCAACAUCUAUUACUUUGGAGGCGGUAGCCACCACGGCCGAGAGAAAACCUUCCCCAAAUCCAAAGAAGACUCUAGUGAUCGUCCUAGAAGAAGAGGUACGACCAUUUUCUUUAAUGACUGUUCUCCUUUUAUUUUAACUGAAUCUUCCGACUAACAAACAAUCAACUGAAUUACCAACUAUCAACUACCAGGAGAACGAGAGCGAAGUACCCUUGGUUAGGCACCCUCAACAAACUAAACUACCAACUACUAAUCCUCAACCAGUGGUCGAGGUGACUGGCUAGGUCAACCCUCAUGGGGUCGAAGUAGGUUCGGGGCAUGAAGCGGCGCUUCCUGUCAAACCAAAAGUGACGAUAGAGACACCAGUUCAUCCCUAGGACCAGAAUCUCGGCAUUCCUCCUCAGGAGGUCACUUUGACCUUUGUAGACUCAUCAUCACUCUUUUAUUAAUUUUCUACCUUAGAAUUCAAAACCAAGAAAAACGUUAAAUGUCAGGUGCCCAAUCGCUCAUUUCACUGAAAAUUCUAUGCCCCGAAAGGUGUUAUUUAUAUUUCCUGGCCACCCCAAUGGCAAUCAAACGUAGAUAACUUUCAUCGGUUGCAUGAAUUAAAAGGCUACCUUAAACACUAGGCUUAUCCAUUAAUCUCUCUAGGUUCAAGCAACGAACCAGCAAAUAUGGCCGAAGUCUUUUCUCGGCAUGUCUAACACAACUUCCUUCUCUACCAUCUUUUUGAAUUCUCUUCUCUGAUAAUUCUUUUCCAUGCAACCUUCAUGGGAGGUCGAGCCGCCAAAGAGGAUGGCUCUGAUACUACUAAAACUUGGAUUUUUUCAAAGAAAAGAUUCUAGAAUAAAGGACUGAUUUCCCCUCAAGCCUACUUUCUUACAUGAUUCCACUUCUAUUAGUAGGCUAGGGAGGAAGUCUCCAAAUAUUCUAAGGAUCUAUCUUUUUAUAUACAUCUAUAGAUAAGAUUCUGAAAUUAAUCUCUCCUUUGUCACUCUACUUUAUAUUGCACUCAAUACUAUCUAUAUAAGAUUCUUUUACUUUACAUUAUAUCAUAGUACUAUUAAGCGAUUCCUCUUGUCAGCUUGUUCUGUCUGUGUUGCUGUUUUGUCAUCAGCGUUGAGAAGAGAAAUACUGUCACACGAAACAUAUGCCGUUAUUAAUCUUCUUUUAUGGUUUUACAAGGGUGAGGAUUUUAAACCCUAAACUUCUUGCGGUAUGUUUCUGGGUGGGAGGAAUACGUUUGAUGAUCCCAACCGGGUAGCAUUAACAUAAUCUUGGGUGCUAUGAGAUGGAACGCCUGGAAGUACCAAGCCAAUGACCCUAAAAAUUCUUAGAAAAGAUCCUUCUUUAUAGUCUGGUCCCUUUGUGCGUGAAAUAGUGAAGCUUCUAAUCAGCUCGCAGAAGGCAUUUAUCAUCAUUGGUAUUGCCCCCAAUGGUGAAAAGUAAUUCUUGUUCGGUUCUUCUGCAACAACCUGCCCAUAUAAAAGCACCAAAAAAGAGAAUGGUCUUUCAAAAGUGUGCUACCAUAGAGAACUUUAUUACAAACUCAAGUAUUUAUUACAUAUUCAAUUAGAAACAAGUAGAUUUUUGUUCUUUUUUAUAGAAAAUUCAAGUGCUUUUUAGAAAAACACUUAAAUGUGCUGCAUGAAAUCUUCAAAAAACGCUUUUAGGAUCCAAAAAAGUUUUUAGCAAAUGUAGUGAGAAGAGAUUUUUAUUGUUAGAAAACACUUUUAGUCAUUCCAAAAAGCACAAUUAUUAGUUUUGAAAAAAAUUUAAUAGUAAAAACGUUUUUUUGUUAUCUGAAAGGAAUAAUUUUGAGAGGCUUUACCUUCACUUCAUACUGCCGAUUAUAGUAGAGGCAUGUCCCAAAAUGCUUGAACAUUAAGUCCUUGUCAUCAUAAGGCAACCUAGGCACCAUAUCAUUACCAUAAACGAAUCUAAAAUAUCGAAUACCAUGCUCUUUCAAUUUUUCUGUCAUGAACUCUCCAAAUUUCUCAUCUCCUACCCUUGGCUGCCCAAAUGUAUACACCCCUUGCAACCCCUCCAAUAACCAUGCCUCAUUGUGCAGAGCCAGAACUGUAGGAAACAGAAUUGCUAGAGCCCCACCCAAACUAUGCCCUGUCACAAUGUAUCUCGCUUGAUCGUUUUGGCUCAAAAGUUCUUUUAGCAUCUCUCUAAUGGCAUAGUAAGCUACGGCUGGCUGCCCAUCUUCUUGUUUGAUUUCUUUAGGCCAACCAACAUUCUUUUGUAAGCCUAAAGCUUUCAUAAAGCCACCAUGAAUUUUUCCAACCCCGGCUGAAAGCUCGUACCAUGAGAUGUCAAAGUCGGAGCACCAUGCAUCGGCGUCGAAAGGUUCGGUUCCCCUAAAGGCCACAACAAUGGUGUCACGGUCACCAGUUUUAUCACGAAGCAAGAAGGCUUGUGUUGUGGCUUUUUGUUGAUAAUCUGCAUUGAAAAGAAAUCAUCAUUAAUCGUAGUUCAAAAUGCUAUUAUUUUCAUAAGAAUUGCACAAAGACUUGUGGCCAAUUUGAAAAGAAUGCAGCAAGUACUUACAAAGUGAUAGGUUACUAGCUUCUUACCAUUCCAGAAGUCAUAAAAUCCCAAGAACUCCAUCUGCUCAAGAGCAAUUGCAUUUUGGUGUUAUAAAAGUAGUACUCAAUACUUAAUACUGUAAAAAGUGUAUAUGUUCAAUAUUUAACACUACAAAUGUAUAUACGCAUAUAAAUGUUCUUUUACCAGACUGUCUAUUGUUAGACUAUUUAACUCUGGCAAUGAAAUUUGGCAAGAGAACAUUACCCUAAUUGCUAAGUGUAUAUAUAUACAAUCAAACUGCUAAAGGAUAUAUUAUAUGUACCUUCCAGUGAUCAUUCACAGUAGUUUCAAUGUAGGUCUUGUUUUCAUAAGAAGCUUUAGAAGCCAUCAUAGAGAGUGCUGCAUGGUAAUUGGCAUCAUCAUGUUUGAUGCUACUGUCUAACUUCACCCGCUUGUCCAUAUUCCCUAUAAAUGACAGAAAUGUUGCUGAUGAUUUAUCUGGCUUUACCAACUUCCCUGAACAACAUGAACCCAUCUCCAUUUUAGUCUCCAUGAAAAAGAAUCACAAACUUAUAACUAUCUUGGUCCGGUCUGUUUCCUUGGUUGGAAACCUCAGUGGCAUGAACCCUAAUUGAUCCAUUGGGUUAGCUAAGCAAUGAGGAUGAGUAGGAAAACUGGUGAACGUCAAGAGUUUGAUCUUCUCCAUUAUGACCAAAAAAGGCCUAAUACUUGCAUCGAUCCCUAUAAGCCAGAUAGUCUUAAAAGUAGUCCGAUAUUGUUGUGGUUUGAACACCAAUUAAUAAAGAGAUUUUUAGGUGUAUCCGAAAUACCAUGAUGUGGUAUUAUUUCACUAAAUUAUAAGAUGUGUACUUAUUUAUUAUUAUGUACCUUUAAAUUUGGAUAAUCAAUUUUGUUAUGUAUUCAUAUUAUAAAUGCAGGUGAAAUAAUUAUACGACCUGAAACACAUAAAAUUUCUGGGGGACAGAUGUCCAAGGAAAAUAUCUGCUUUGCAUACAUUAGUAGAGUUGUGGACUUUAUAAUCUGUCUGGGGCCCGGGCAAGGAAAUUUCAUGAUUGUUCACCCACAACAGCGAUAAUUGAGGGUGACCGCUUGGUUCAAUUGAUUGGAUGUGUUGGAUCUGAAUAAUUUGUAUUAUUACACACUAUCAUUAAACCAUGGCAAUGUUGCCUUCAUCAAUUACACAACAAAAAAUAUUUAAUUAAUUUUUCAAGACAUGUCAAUAGCUAAUUAAAUUAUAUAUUCAGAACACGAUGAAUUAAUUUUUUUAACACAUUUCAAUAGCUUCAAUGUUAAAAUACUUACUUACACACACACAAAUAUAUAGUCUAUUGAUGCAAAAAGAAAUUUAAAUUUGAGUGCACAAUACCCACGCAAUACCCUUAAUAACUUAUCUGACUCAACAUUUGCAAACAAAACUAUUUUUUGGAACAACAAUGUUUCAAUUCAAAAUACAUGUAUAUGAACUAAAAAUUAUUAAUUAUCAAACAAAAGGAGCAAAGCAUAAAUGGAUUAUACGACUUGGAAUGCAGUUUCCUCUUUUAAGUAGUAGAUAAUAUGUCUAAAGUUGAGGUUUCACCAUAAAAUUAAUUGGUAAUAUGGAGAAUAACUCAAUUACUUAUACGUAUGUACAAAAUUUCUUCUUUACCUGAGAUUUGUACCCUCAACAUACUAACAUAUAUAAUCAAAAGAACAAUUCAAUUUUAAAAAGAAAUAAAAAAGAAAUGAGGUAAUCGUUAAUCAUGAUCUUCUAGUAUUAUAAGCAACAGAUAUUAGAUUAUAUAAGUUGGCUAGAGGUGUGUUUUCUCUACAUCUAAGUUCAAAUCAUCCUCAGUGUAAUUUAAGAUUGUCUUAUCGUUUGUCAAAAAAAAAUUAUUUUAAGCAAACCAUUCGAAAAAAGAGUAAUGUUAGAGAAAUUAAAUUUUUAAACAAAAUUUUGUAAAUCAAAUGAUGUGGUUAUUAAUGAUUAGAUUAUUAUGUAAAUGUUGAUGAACGUGCUUAUUUUUUAUUGGUGACAUCAUUUAGUUUAAAAUUUUGAUUUAUCUAGGAUUAUUCUUCGAAGAAACUUCAGAGAAUAAUUACUUCCAUCCAAAAUAUAUGAUAAACACAAGGAAGGAAAUUAAUAAUAGUUAGCACGCG